UAUCCAGUGAGCCAAGCGUCAGUAACGACGUUGCUUUUUGAUCCUUCGAUGUCGGCUCUUCCUAUCAUUAUGGAGCAGAAUUCAUCAAGUAUUGGAUUGUUCAUCCAGCAAUAGGGAACGUGAGAUGGGUUUAGACCGUCGUGAGACAAGUU
rnacentral:ncRNA from 1 species